UACAGAGGGUGCAAGCGUUAAUCGGAAUUACUGGGCGUAAAGCGUGCGUAGACGGUUGCGUAAGUCAGAUGUGAAAGCCCCGGGCUCAACCUGGGAAUUGCAUUUGAGACUGCGUAGCUAGGGUGCGGAAGAGGGGGGUGGAAUUCCCGGUGUAGCGGUGAAAUGACGUAGAUAUCGGGAGGAACACCGGUGGCGAAGGCGGCCCCCUGGUUGGAUACUGACGCUGAGACGCGAAAGCGUGGGGAGCAAAC
rnacentral:rRNA from 1 species